GACGAACGCUGGCGGCGUGCCUAAUACAUGCAAGUCGAGUGGGCCUCCGGAGGUGCUUGCACCUCCGGACGGCCAGCGGCGGACGGGUGAGUAACACGUGGGCAACCUGCCUUUGAGGCCGGGAUAACACCGGGAAACCGGUGCUAAUACCGGAUACGUCCUCUUUCGCGCCUGCGAGAGGGGAGAAAGACGGUCUGUAAGGCCGUCGCCAAAAGAGGGGCCCGCGGCGAAUUAGCUGGUUGGUGGGGCAAGGGCCUACCAAGGCGACGAUGCGUUGCCGACCUGAGAGGGUGAUCGGCCACACUGGGACUGAGACACGGCCCAGACUCCUGCGGGAGGCAGCAGUAGGGAAUCAUCCGCAAUGGGCGAAAGCCUGACGGUGCAACGCCGCUUGAGUGAGGAAGGUUUUCGGAUCGUAAAGCUCUGUUGUGAGGGAAGAACAGCAUCCGGAGGAAAUGCCGGAGGUUUGCCGGUACCUCACCAGAAAGCCCCGGCUAACUACGUGCCAGCCGCCGCGGUAACAC
rnacentral:rRNA from 1 species